UACGAAGGGUGCAAGCGUUACUCGGAAUUACUGGGAGUAAAGCGUGCGUAGGUGGUUGUUUAAGUCUGUUGUGAAAGCCCUGGGCUCAACCUGGGAAUUGCAGUGGAUACUGGGCGACUAGAGUGUGGUAGAGGGUAGUGGAAUUCCCGGUGUAGCAGUGAAAUGCGUAGAGAUCGGGAGGAACAUCCAUGGCGAAGGCAGCUACCUGGACCAACACUGACGCUGAAGCACGAAAGCGUGGGGAGCAAACAGG
rnacentral:rRNA from 1 species